CCCUAUGGGGUGCAGCAGUGGCGAAAACUCCGCAAUGUGGGCAACCACGACUGGGGAACUCCCAGUGCGCACGUUUUACGUGCGCUGUUCUCCGGCCUAAAAAGCCGGAGGAGUAAGGGCCGGGUAAGACGGGUGCCAGCCGCCGCGGUAAUACCCGCGGCCCGAGUGGUGUUCAUUAUUAUUGAGCCUAAAACGUCCGUAGCCGGCUCGGUAAAUUCCUGGGUAAAUCGGGUCGCUCAACGAUCCGAAUUCCGGGAGGACUGCCGGGCUCGGGACCGGGAGAGGUCGGAGGUACUCCGGGGGUAGGGGUAAAAUCCUGUAAUCCUCGGAGGACCACCAGUGGCGAAGGCGUCCGACUAGAACGGAUCCGACGGUCAGGGACGAAGCCCAAGGGCGCAAACGGGAUUAGAUACCCCGGUAGUCUUGGGUGUAAACGCUGCAGGCUUGGUGUCGGGGGUCCUACGGGGGCGCCCGGUGCCGGAGCGAAGGUGUUAAGCCUGCUGCUUGGGGAGUACGGUCGCAAGACUGAAACUUAAAGGGAUUGGCGGGGGAGCACCGCAACGGGAGGAGCGUGCGGUUCAAUUGGAUUCAACGCCGGAAAACUCACCGGGGGCGACCCUCGCAUGAAGGCCAGGUUGAUGACCUUGCCUGAUUC
rnacentral:rRNA from 1 species